GUGCCAGCAGCCGCGGUAAUACGGAGGGUGCGAGCGUUAAUCGGAAUUACUGGGCGUAAAGCGCGCGUAGGCGGUUUGAUAAGUCUGAUGUGAAAGCCCCGGGCUUAACCUGGGAACUGCAUUGGAUACUGUCAGGCUAGAGUGUGGUAGAGGGCAGUGGAAUUCCCGGUGUAGCGGUGAAAUGCGUAGAGAUCGGGAGGAACACCAGUGGCGAAGGCGGCUGCCUGGACCAACACUGACGCUGAGGUGCGAAAGCGUGGGGAGCAAACAGGAUUAGAUACCCCAGUAGUCC
rnacentral:rRNA from 1 species